UCUGGUGAUGAUGGCGAAGAGGUCACACCCGUUCCCAUGCCGAACACGGAAGUUAAGCUCUUCAGCGCCGAUGGUAGUUGGGGGUUUCCCCCUGCGAGAGUAGGACGUCGCCAGGC
rnacentral:rRNA from 3 species